rnacentral:rRNA from 1 species
UACGUAGGGGGCAAGCGUUGUCCGGAUUUAUUGGGCGUAAAGCGCACGCAGGCGGUCUUGUCAGUUUCGAGUGACAGGUGGCGGCUUAACUGCCACAGGCCUUGGAAAACUGCAAGACUUGAGGGCGAGAGAGGGACGCGGAAUUCCAGGUGGAGCGGUGAAAUGCGUAGAGAUCAUGAGGAAGACCAGUGGCGAAGGCGGGUCUCUGGACAGUUCCUGACACUGAGACACGAAGGCCAGGGGAGCAAACGGG